rnacentral:sRNA from 5 species
GAAGGAUGAGAAGCUUCGACCAAGGUUCGAUUCGAGCGCAGCGAGAAAGCGUUGCCGCAGGCAACGACCCGAAGGGCGAAGCGCGCAGCGCUGAGUCAUCCUUCCCCCACCACCA